rnacentral:rRNA from 1 species
GACGUAGGGCGCGAGCGUUGUCCGGAUUUAUUGGGCGUAAAGAGCUCGUAGGCGGCUUGUCGCGUCGACUGUGAAAACCCGCGGCUCAACUGUGGGCUUGCAGUCGAUACUGGCAUCACUGGAGUUCGGCAGGGGAGACUGGAAUUCCUGGUGUAGCGGUGAAAUGCGCAGAUAUCAGGAGGAACACCGGUGGCGAAGGCGGGUCUCUGGGCCGAUACUGACGCUGAGGAGCGAAAGCGUGGGGAGCGAACAGG